rnacentral:rRNA from 1 species
UACGAAGGGGGCUAGCGUUGUUCGGAAUUACUGGGCGUAAAGGGCGCGUAGGCGGCGUGUCAAGUCAGGCGUGAAAGCCCCGGGCUCAACCUGGGAACCGCGCUUGAGACUGGCAUGCUCGAGUUCGGGAGAGGAUGGUGGAAUUCCCAGUGUAGAGGUGAAAUGCGUAGAUAUCGGGAGGAACACCUGUGGCGAAGGCGACCCCCUGGUUGGAUACUGACGCUGAGACGCGAAAGCGUGGGGAGCAAACAGG